UACGUAGGGUGCAAGCGUUAAUCGGAAUUACUGGGCGUAAAGCGUGCGUAGGCGGUUCGUUAAGUCUGUUGUGAAAGCCCCGGGCUCAACCUGGGAAUGGCAAUGGAUACUGGCGAGCUAGAGUGUGUCAGAGGAUGGUGGAAUUCCCGGUGUAGCGGUGAAAUGCGUAGAGAUCGGGAGGAACAUCAGCGGCGAAGGCGGCCAUCUGGGACAACACUGACGCUGAGGCACGAAAGCGUGGGGAGCAAACAGG
rnacentral:rRNA from 1 species